UUCCCGGUUCCACAUCAGAACGCCAACUCAUUAUUGGCCGGCUCCUGCAUCACACGCAUGCAUCGUGCUGAUCACGUGAUCAGCUUUGGCCAAUACCGAGCCGGCAUUCGGACGUAAACACGGAAGCUUCACUGUGUUACUGCGUCACCUGGUGGUGUUCAAGCAUGGACGAGAUAAUCAAGGAGGCGCUCUGACGUUGGCUGGCCACGGGUUGGAGAGACUGUGGAUGAGAAAAUCGUAAGGGAGGACCACCCAUUGGGCUCGGAGGAGAGAGAUUCCCUGCACGGCGUCUCUCUGGAAUAUUAAUGGGCUUCUCCUGGGAAAACUGCCCACAGAAUGGGCCACUCCAUCGCUGUCUCUGUUUCCGCUCAGCUGUCCUGAGGGUACGUGAGGGUGUGCGCUCCUUCGGUACAAUCCGGUCUGGACAAACCUCAAGUACACCUCAAACUUGUGUUUUGAUGUUUCAUUAAGAACUCUUGAAGUUGAAGCUUUUUCCAGAAUGUCAGUAAAAUAUAUUGCCGCUUUUAUUACGCAAUAAAAA